rnacentral:lncRNA from 1 species
CAGGCCCGGCGGGCCAGCGCCAGGGCCGGGGGUCGGCGCUGCAGCCGUGGCAGCAGGCACGCUUGCGCUGCUGGCUCCUGCCGCCGCAAAGCUGCACGAGGCGAGGGGAGGGAGUGCACAGCGCGCAGUCACGUCAACGCGGGCUGCGUGGCCGCACGUACACGACACGGGGCAGGAGGGAGGCAGGGGUGCAAAGCAGAGUCACGCUAUGCUGACGGAGCGAGCAGGGCAGCAAAGCAGGCGCAAGCAUGCCUGACACACCUGCUUGGCGUUGCCGCGGUGGGUAGGCCCGGCGGGCCAGCGCCAGGGCCGGGGGUCGGCGCUGCAGCCGCGGCAGCAGGCACGCUUGCGCUGCUGGCUCCUGCCGCCGCAAAGCUGCACGAGGCGAGGGGGGGGAGUGCACAGCGCGCAGUCAC